AUAAUGCUUCUGCAAGAAUGAGGGGAAAAUACAUAAAUAAAUAAAAAUAAAUUAGCCAAGUAAAUUAGCCAAGUUCAGGAGGAAAGAAGGGCAGAACAAAGUCCCAGGCAGAGGCAGGACCAAGGGGAGCAGGAAAUGGAAGCUAUUGAAAGAAGCAAGUCUUGCUGCUAUUACCCUCUCUGCAACACUUCUAAGGUUAAAGGAAUAAAAAUCCAUCAAUUUGUACAGCCUGACCUUGCAGUGUUGGUUUUUAGCUGAAUUCAGAUGUGUAGGAUUAACCCAGCAAAGUUUACAUGACAUUGAUUUAAAAGCUGCGUUACGGGACCUUCCAGCAAGUUACAUUAAUCGGAAUCUUUAAUCGGGCCUUGGGACGAAGAAAAAAAAGUUGCUUAUCAGACGUGCAACAUAUGAUAAACAGAUGUCUCCGUGCAUUAGAUAAAUAUAAAUGCAGCGUGCAUCACUAACUACAGCAAGUCCAUAUAUUGAGCAGCACCAAGGAUGGGGCCAUGAGAAAUUCCUCAUCCAUGUUUUUGCUAGGAUGAGGACAGGGCAGAGAUGCCUGAGCGGGAGAUGUGAUUUCGCACCUUCCAGUGCACGCUCAGGAGCCACCCAACUGCACCAGUCUGAGCCAUUGAAAUGUCCAUUUGUGUGGUUGCACACCUCAAAAUGAGGCAAUGGAGUUGUUCAGGCCAUCUGCUUCACCACAGUGCUUGGGGCCAAACGAGGACCGAGAGUCACCAUCCUUGCUCUGGGGUCUCAUGCCCAUGACCUCCGUCCUUUGCAGAGUCCCAUCGGAGCUCCCGCGGCCCCAGCUGGAGCGCACCCAGCGCAGACCAGUAUCUGCAGGGAAGUUAGCUGUCAAAUCCUCGCAGAUCUCCCAUGCACAACACCAUUUUUCAGCCCCUUAUCGUGCCGUUCUGCCGGGGCAGCUCUCCGCAGGGACGGGAAAAGGGCAAACGGCCGCUAGGAAAGCCAGCGCCUGCCAAAUUCCCCAUCGUUUCCCCAGCGCGGCGGUGCCAGGGUUUCACGCGGAAAAGCAAUCCGCAGUUUUUGGAGCGAGGGCAAAAUUCAGCCCUGGGAGGAAGCUAUGUGCCGGGUCGAGCAAGCAGGAGAGCCGCCUGCAUUUCCCAAGGGGGUGUCAGGAGCUACAGAGAAUUUACCCGGGCUUUUGCAAGGGACAUGGGAUUCAGCCAUGCUGCUGGAGAUCCUUGCUCACCCUGCAGUGCCCAGCCCAAGCACUGAAGCAGGAGGAAACAUUUCUCCUAAGCGUUACUCCUGUAUCUGUAAGUCAGAUAAACUGUUGGUAAAGCACUGAGUCUAACACCAAAUCCAGGAAGAAGACCCAAUUUGAGAAUUAUUUUGCAGAGGGGUUGCACCCACACCUGCAAAUAUAAUCCCACAAAAAAACAGAGAGGAUAUCAUUUAUCUAUAACAUUCUCUUCUUGUUUCCAGGCUCUUUGCAUCCUCCCUUUUGAUUUUGUUUCAAACACACUUGACUACUCUGUUAUAAAGCCAUGAAUUUCCUUUGCACCAGGACACUGAUGAAUUUUGAGCUUAAUUAAAUGAAGGGGUUGAAGAUAAUUUUAAGUCCAUUGCAGUAACUGAAGAGCUGAGCUGUUCCCUGCCCUCCCAAGGAUCACUAAAGAAGUCCACAACUAAAAUACAGCUUGCAGCCUCAUCCCUCGGCUGCAAAAUACCCUUUCCCAUGCGAUGUUUCCCUUCCCCUGGGGAACUGCUGCUCUGCCCUGGUGCCCAGCAAGCUUUGGGCCUGUCCCCCCUGCUUUGCCCUCUGAAUCCUUGGAUUCACUUUUACGUGUACUAUCUUAUUUUCCCAUGUGUCUCUUUUAGCAUCUUUUCUGCAUUUCUUCCAAAUACACAGAUUUCCAUAAUCAGUAGCCUACAAAAGCGCUGGCAAUAGCUGAACAACUUUCUUUUCUGAAGACUCAAAGAAAGAAAAUGCCUUUAGCUUUCUGCGUCUUCACUGAGUUUUAAGGUAAAACAUUAAUGUUAGCUUUUUCACAGCAGGAUGACCCCACCACGUUUGCCCACAUGCAGGAAGCAGCAGCGAUUGUAUUUUUCAGUGCCUGAGGCUGAUACAGACAGCUAUGUUAGAGGCCGGACAAUUAAUCGGGAGCAUUUACACAGGGUCACUCUGGUUUUGCCCAUUCACUGUGUUUUGUGGGGAUGUGAGUUUCCCUCUUCCUUGCUGGAAACCAGAGCAGCUCUGCUAAGCUGCCUGGACCGUGCUGUGAUUACUGGGACUGCGUUUAGGUUUUCUAGGAAAGCUGGAACAGCCCCACUGACCCACAUCUUCUGCGCAGACGAUAAAAAUGGUUUUAUAACAACAUCUAAAUCGCUCUACAGUGUUUUAGUAAACAGUAAAUUUAUUUUGGGAUUUCAUCCCAGGCAUAAGACUGCUUCAUUUUCCUCAAUAAAGACUAUUACGUUAUUAGUUUUAGCCUUACGAAUCCAAUUCCCAACACUCAACCUUUAUUUAUUAUUUGUACGGGGCAUAUAUCAUCCUGCCGUGUAACUGUAAAUAUUCUGCUUGCACAGAGCACAGCACAUCCUCUUUGUUUAAAACCCGAGCCAUGAUGUUUUGCAUAAAUUUGCUUCCUCUCCGAGUAGAAAGGGCCCAAAAUAUAAACCCCCCACGUAUCCCAGCAUUGGGAACACGAGCUGGAGCCCAGCCAGAGCCCCAGCCCACCCAGGGCAUCCCCUCCUGGCA